CGUUAAAUCAGAUAUAACCACAGUAACGGUAAUUUGCUAGGUUUGUCAUAGAAUUACCAAAUGUAUCGGCGAAAGUUAACGAGCUGACGGUGAUUGAAGGGAAUGAAGUGAUUCUCGGAACUUGCUUCGCUAAUUCAUCGAAACCAACACCAGAAGUUUGGUGAGUGCUUGUUUAUUAAGCAUUUUACACACCAUAUUAGCUAUGAUAACCUGACAUAGAUUGCCUUAUACUCUCAUGAUUGCCCAUGUGAUAACGUCUCUUGCCUUUUCCGAUCCACAGAAAUAAUCAUGGUCUUCGGGCCGACGGUGAAAUACCACUACUCCCAUCGUUUUUUUACUUAUUCAGUAAAGCGGGGAGCGACCCUCGGGUCCCGUUUCUAGCCUUAAGCGCGGCGCUCUCGGGCGCCGCGCGAUCCCGCUCGAAGCCGUGUCAGGCGGGGAGUUUGACUGGGGCGGUACAUCUGUCAAAGAGUAACGCAGGUGUCCCAAGGUGAGCUCAGCGAGGACGGAAACCUCGCGUAGAGCAAAAGGGCAAAAGCUCACUUGAUUUUGAUUUUCAGUAUGAAUACAGACCGCGAAAGCGUGGCCUAUCGAUCCUUUUGAACUUGCGAGUUUCAAGCAAGAG
rnacentral:ncRNA from 1 species